rnacentral:misc_RNA from 1 species
UCACGUAUCCACGUUAUAAACCAAACGCGAAUUGUCUCUAUCAAAAACCUUUGAGCUGUGGCCGCUGUCUUUGAACAUAUGAAUUCAUUGUAUGAUUAUGCGAUUCGUUCAUUGACAAUUAAGGCCGCUUCUUCAGAGUGUAUUAAUCAUACAUU